CCCUUAGAUGUCCUGGGCGGCCCGCGCGCUACAAUGUCAGCUACUGAAGGUUAAUGCUUUGAAAGAGAGCGCGCUCUCCUUUUAAUUGCUCGCAUGCUGGGAUAAAUGAAUGCAAUUUUGUUUUGAACGAGGAAUUCCUAGUAGCCAUGUUUCACUAGAAGAUGGCGAAUGUGUCCCUGCCCUUUGUACACACCGCCCGUCGCUCCUACCGAUGAGCGUUUUGGCGAAGACGGUUUGAGUAGCUGCGUAAUUUCGUGUUGUUGACUCCGGCAGUUUGAGCCUUCACGUUUAGAGGAAGGAGAAGUCGUAACA
rnacentral:rRNA from 1 species